rnacentral:rRNA from 1 species
GAGUCAUUGGGACUCUACGAAACCAAUUGGCGCAAUGAAAGUAAAGGUCCGCCUGGCGCGGACCGAGGGAGGACGCGUCCGUCCGCGGACGGGCGCCGCACUCCCUGGGCGUCUCGUUCUCAUCGCGAGAAGAGGCGCACCCAGAGCGUACACGCUGGGACCCGAAAGAUGGUGAACUAUGCCUGGUCAGGACGAAGUCAGGGGAAACCCUGAUGGAGGUCCGUAGCGAUUCUGACGUGCAAAUCGAUCGUCGGAACUGGGUAUAGGGGCGAAAGACUAAUCGAACCUUCUAGUAGCUGGUUCCCUCCGAAGUUUCCCUCAGGAUAGCUGGCGCUCGUCUUUUCGAGUCUCAUUCGGUAAAGCGAAUGAUUAGAGGCAUUGGGGUCGAAACGGCCUCAACCUAUUCUCAAACUUUAAAUGGGUGAGAUCUUCGGCUUGCUUGAAGCAUGAAGCCGCGAGAGAUCGGAUCACUGAGUGCCAAGUGGGCCACUUUUGGUAAGCAGAACUGGCGCUGUGGGAUGAACCAAACGCCGAGUUAAAGCGCCCAAAUCGACGCUUAUGGGAUACCAUGAAAGGCGUUGGUAACUUA